rnacentral:rRNA from 1 species
UAAUACAGAGGGGGCAAGCGUUGUCCGGACUUACUGGGUGUAAAGCGCAUGCAGGUGGCUGUGCAAGUAUGCUGUGAAAGCCCCGUGCUUAACACGGGGAGGCCAGUAUAGACUGCACGGCUCGAGGACUGCAGAGGGUAGGGGAAUUGCUGGUGUAGUGGUGAAAUGCGUAGAGAUCAGCAGGAACACCAAGGCCGAAGGGACCUACCUGGGCAGUAUCUGACACUCAAGUGCGACAGCGUGGGGAGCGAACCGGAUUAGAUACCCGGGUAGUCCACGCCGUAAACGAUGGAUGCUCGGCGUUUGGGGGAGAAAUCUCCUGGGCGCCUCAGCUGACGCGGAAGCAUCCCACCUGGGAACUACGAGCGCAAGCUUA